UGUAUAUCUUUUUGGUGUUUUACACACUCUCUCUGCUUUUUGUAUUACAUACUCUAAUACUCUUAUCUGUCUCUCUCUGUAUUACACACUAUCGACAUUGUUUAUUAUUAUUUUAUUGCUGAUAGAGCGCCAGCAAAUUCCAUAGCGCUAUACAAUAUUUACUAAAGGUGCCACUAAAGUGAGAAUUGUCAAAUUCAAAGUGAAUUUCUAAUUUAAGACGAAUAUAGCCAAAUGUGAAGCACUUCUCACUUUAUUAAAAAACCCAGUUUGUGAUCAGUGGCCCUCUGGGAAGUGUUACAACUAUCAGCAGAAAAUAAUCACAAGUCAAUAAAUGUUAAAG